UACGUAGGGUGCGAGCGUUGUCCGGAAUUACUGGGCGCAAAGAGCUCGUAGGUGGUUUGUCACGUCGUCUGUGAAAUUCCGGGGCUUAACCUCGGGCGUGCAGGCGAUACGGGCAAUACUUGAGUGCUGUAGGGGAGACUGGAAUUCCUGGUGUAGCGGUGAAAUGCGCAGAUAUCAGGAGGAACACCAAUGGCGAAGGCAGGUCUCUGGGCAGUUACUGACGCUGAGGAGCGAAAGCAUGGGUAGCGAACAGGAUUA
rnacentral:rRNA from 1 species